rnacentral:rRNA from 1 species
ACUACGGGAGGCAGCAGUGAGGAAUAUUGGUCAAUGGGCGCGAGCCUGAACCAGCCAAGUAGCGUGAAGGAUGACUGCCCUACGGUUUUGAAGCUUCGUUUAUAAAGAAGAAAAGUGAGGCACGUGUGCCUUUUUGUAUGUACUUUAUGAAUAAGGAUCGGCUAAAUCCGUUCCAUGAGCCGCGGUAAUACGGAGGAUUCGAGCGUUAUCCGGAUUUGUUAGGUUGACAGUUAGCGUAGAUGGGUUGUUAAGUCAGUUGUGAAAGUUUGCGGAUCAGUCGGAAAAUUGCAAUUGAUACUGGCAGGCUUGAGUACAGUUGAGGUAGGCGGAAUGCGUGGUGUAGCGGUGAAAUGCGUAGAUAUAACGAAGAACGCCGAUUGCGAAGGCAGCUUACUAAACUGCCACUGACGUUGAUGCUCGAAAGUGUGGGUAUCGAACAGGAUUAGAUACCCGAGUAGUC